UAACAACCGAUGAAACUCGAGUGGUAAAAAUUGAGAGAGAUAGUUUAACCUCUCGACGCUAGACGGUUUCAUUAGGAAAACUCAUUUUUAGCCGGUGAGCUAGUUUUGAGGGUUUUCUGUUUGACAUGAAGGCUGUUUGGAAAGUUCACGCCGACACCAAAUUAGAGAAGAACCUCAUUCUUGCUUCACGUUCUUGGUCUUAACGGCACCUCCUGAAAAUGAUCAAUUGUCCGAUCUCAUAUUUUCAUCUUCGCCGUUUUGGGUGCAAUUAAAAAUGUUCCAAUUGGCUGUAUGAACACCACGAUGGCGAGAUUACUCAUAUCUCAAGUGGAAACUGUUUUCGAAAUUGAGGGUGACGAUGAGAGACAACGGAUUGGGCCUGUAUUGCAGGUACAUAUUGCCAUCGAUAUAACUAAACCUCUUUGUCAAGGUGUUUGCAUUCAGAGUCAUACGACUCAACCAAGACAAACCAGAGUAAACUGAAGCGUUGGGAAGUGCAAAAGGCUUUUUGCCUUGUAGCUUUGGGACGCCUCACGGAGCCUCGCGUGGCGUUGUAAGGUAGAGAGUUACUGUCUUUGGAAAAUACCCUAGUGUCGUGGCGCUGCCCUUGGGCAUUGUGGUGCUCCGAACUUUCAUCCUGCGCAUGAAGACAUCAUGGCAUUAUUAUAAAUAUGUACUUUAGCCGCCAGCAGUGACAUAACUUGUUUUCCAACCAUUUUACACCAGUUUUUUCCCCAAUUUUCUUUACUUUUUGAUGCUGUUUUCAAUCUGACCAAUGAUGGUGAGGAUGAGAGGCUAUGUACUCGUUUCUAGCUUGAGUUUUUACAUUCUCCCUUUGUUCAUUAUAAUUUAUGUGAACUUAAACUUAGCUGUAUUGUAAUCUUUGGUUGAGUUCUGAAUGUUUUGAUAUUUUAUUAUAAGUUGGACAUUGGGAAUUGGUUAUGCUUA